rnacentral:piRNA from 1 species
UCCAGCUUUUUUCCAUUUUAA